GCCAUAUAGUAACAUGAUUUGCCUUUGCUUUCAGAGUGAUAAUGGUUAACUGCUGAGCUCAGAUUACAAAAGUAGAACUUUUGAAGAAAGAUGUUUAAUUUGAGAUGCUGUCUUUAUUUCUUUAAUAAGUCCUGCAUCUCUUGUGCCGGACCUCAUCUUUGCCUCUAGAAACCUUUGUGUGAUGCAGAGGGGAAGGUCAAGAGUUUUACUUUUUACGCUUCUAUCAUUUUUAGUCAACGGUAAGACUUGUCUUCUGUAAGGACGUCUCAUGUAUGCAUUCCCUGAUGACAUCAAGAUAAUCAUUUUAAUCAGGAAAGAAGGCACUAUUUGCCUAAACGUCAGCAGCCACUGUGAAAAUGAAAGCAACAUCAUUUUGAGAUUAAAGAACAGAAGGAAGGUUUUUCUUU